rnacentral:tRNA from 1 species
GGGCAGGUGGCAGAGUGGUUGAAUGCGGCGGUCUUGAAAACCGCUUUGGCCGCAAGGCCAACGGGGGUUCGAAUCCCUCCCUGCCCG